GGAGAGGUGGCCAGAGAGAAAUGCCAUAGGCAUGAAGGAGGUGCAAUACUGGGCAGGUCUGCACUACCAUCUCUAUUAUUAUGGCUCCAGAAAGUGAAUGAAAGCACAGUUAUGGUGCCAUCCAUGUUCAGACAUACGCUGCUGUCCUGUAUCCUAGACAGGACAUCUGAUUCCCGGACUGUCCAAGCAGGCUCUGGAAUGAAAACCUGCAAAAUUCAUAUACACAGAAUUAGGAACUUCAGCCGAGUCUCAAAUCAGUUGUGAAAGAGAAGUCAAAGAUUUCCCGAGUCUGGAAUGUUAUCAUCAUCAUUAGUUUCCGGAUCUCUGUGUUUGCAAAUGCCACGAGAAGUAAUUAUAAAUUUUCCAGAUGGAGGACAUCAUGCAGCAACUUACUAAAAUGCAAGAACCUAAUUAGCUGAAAAUGUAGCGUGAUACAUUCAAGAAGCCUCCCAUCAGCAACCAGCCACUCUGCAAGAGAUGGGGGAGUAAUAAGGGAGGGAGCCAUCCUUUGAUCCAUUUGCAUUUCAGAUUUAUUCUGUUAAGUCACCUUGAGGUUUUUUUGUUGAAAAGGGAAGGCAGGAUAACAAUAAUAAUGGAGGAGGAAGAGGAAUUGAAAUCGAUGCCUCUAUAUAAGCCAAAUGGAUCAGUACUUGUACCCUAUAAAAAUAUACAUGAUGUUGAUUUUUCAUUCCUCCUUGGUAUAAGAUGAUAGCAGCAUUACCAAAUGUAAUUUGGCUCUUAAAGCACAUCACAUCUAAAGACAUCAAACUGCAAAAGUGGAAUAAAUAUUUGCAAGUCACACAGUCA